UCGGCCGGGCGUGGUGGCCCGGUCCUGACGAGCAGCCAAAC
rnacentral:hammerhead_ribozyme from 1 species